rnacentral:lncRNA from 1 species
ACGUAUAUCGGUGCUUUAUGUGUUUGGACUUCUGGUGAGACUUUGGCUCCUUAGCAAGGACUAUGGUGCCAUUGUCUUUGCAGUAUUGUGUCAUGGUAUGACAUCCAGUUCUACAACUAAUAUUAAAAUCAGAAUUCAUCCUACACAUCUAUAGCACACUCAACCUCUAUUGAUCGAUUACCCAGAAUCCUUCUAAUAAAUCAAAUAAGAAUACACCC